UACGGGGGGGGCAAGCGUUGUUCGGAAUUACUGGGCGUAAAGGGCUCGUAGGCGGCCAACUAAGUCAUACGUGAAAUCCCUCGGCUUAACCGGGGAACUGCGUCUGAUACUGGAUGGCUUGAGAUUGGGAGAGGGAUGCGGAAUUCCAGGUGUAGCGGUGAAAUGCGUAGAUAUCUGGAGGAACACCGGUGGCGAAGGCGGCAUCCUGGACCAACACUGACGCUGAUGAGCGAAAGCCAGGGGAGCAAACGGG
rnacentral:rRNA from 1 species